GACGAACGCUGGCGGCGUGCCUAACACAUGCAAGUUGAGCGACGAACCAGGGCUUGCCCUGGGGCAAAGCAGCGAACGGGUGAGUAACACGCGGGUAACCUACCCCGAUAACCGGGACAACCCGAGGAAACUCGGGCUAAUACCGGAUGUGCUCACUGGACUUCGGUUCAGUGCGUAAAGGAAGCUUCGGCCUCCGUAUCGGGAGGGGCCCGCGGCCCAUUAGUUUGUUGGUGAGGUAACGGCUCACCAAGACCGCGAUGGGUAGCUGGUCUGAGAGGACGAUCAGCCACACUGGGACUGAGACACGGCCCAGACUCCUGCGGGAGGCAGCAGUGGGGAAUCUUGCGCAAGGCGCGAAAGCGUGACGCAGCAACGCCGCGUGGGGGAAGAAGGCCUUCGGGUUGUAAACCCCUUUCAGGAGGGACGAAGGUUCGGCAGUUAACAGCUGUCCGGACUGACGGUACCUCCACAAGAAGCCCCGGCUAACUACGUGCCAGCCGCCGCCGUAA
rnacentral:rRNA from 1 species